CCCUGGCCUAUUGCACUUACCACACCUGAACACACUAAGGAAGCAGGUGCUGGACUCUGGGGGAGGGACCUAGAGUUUGGUUAGUAAGACUGCUGAAAGCAUGUGGUUUCAACAUCCGUUUUAAAAUGUGGACACCAGAACUGGGUGGAGAAAUCCAAUAUCGAUCUCAUCAAUGCAGUAUACAGAGUGAAGAAGAAUAUAUCCUACUCGCAGUAGUCACAAUUCAGGAGGCAAUGGUGUGAAACUUAUUCUCCCGUAAGAGAAAUCAGUCUGG